rnacentral:rRNA from 1 species
GAUGAACGCUGGCGGCGUGCCUAAUACAUGCAAGUCGAGCGAACAGAUGAGGAGCUUGCUCCUCUGACGUUAGCGGCGGACGGGUGAGUAACACGUGGAUAACCUACCUAUAAGACUGGGAUAACUUCGGGAAACCGGAGCUAAUACCGGAUAAUAUAUUGAACCGCAUGGUUCAAUAGUGAAAGACGGUUUUGCUGUCACUUAUAGAUGGAUCCGCGCCGCAUUAGCUAGUUGGCAAGGUAACGGCUUACCAAGGCAACGAUGCGUAGCCGACCUGAGAGGGUGAUCGGCCACACUGGAACUGAGACACGGUCCAGACUCCUACGGGAGGCAGCAGUAGGGAAUCUUCCGCAAUGGGCGAAAGCCUGACGGAGCAACGCCGCGUGAGUGAUGAAGGUCUUCGGAUCGUAAAACCCUGUUAUUAGGGAAGAACAAAUGUGUAAGUAACUAUGCACGUCUUGACGGUACCUAAUCAGAAAGCCACGGCUAACUACGUG